AUGGAGCCUUCUCCGUCUCACUCUCUCCGUCAAACAUCUAAAUCUUCGCCUCAACCUUCUUUUGAUUUGUCUCAAUAUCGAGUUCAACUAUCUCCUCUGUUUCUGAUAUGUACAAUCGCCCUCACUUCAACAUUGAUACGAAGUUUCAGCCUCCUUUCAACAACUUCUUCACUGAGUUCCAUCUCAGCUUAUCUCAACAGCCGCGGCUUCAACGUAGAGCUUCACCUUCUUCAAUUUUGUAAAUUUUAUGUGCGUCAAUGUUGCUACGUGUGCGAAUCGUCAUUGGUUGUUGACUGUCGAUGA